CACUCCAGCCUGGUCAACAGGAGUCAAACCUUGUCUCAAAAAAUUAAAAACAUGAAACUUAGUUUCAAAACACAAAUAAUACUAUUCAAUCUAGAUAAUGAACUUUUUUUCAGUUGUAUGGUGGAAAGGAUUGCCAGUUGUAGAACACUAAACUAGACUGCUUUUUGCUUAAUCUAUAGGAAGAAAAUGAAAAAAGAAGUCAUCAUAAAGACCACUCAGAUAGUGAAUCUACAUCAUCAGAUAAGUAAGUCAUUUUUAAUGUCCACUUAGUAUUUCUUUUUAAAAGGCAUGUUUCUAAUACUGUGUCUCUUUUUUAAGUUCUGGGAGGAGGAGGAAAGGACCCUUUAAAACCAUAAAGUUUGGGACCAAUAUUGACCUAUCUGAUGACAAAAAGUGGAAGUUGCAGCUACAUGAGCUGACUAAACUUCCUGCUUUUGUGCGUGUCGUAUCAGCAGGA
rnacentral:sRNA from 1 species